UACAGAGGUCUCAAGCGUUGUUCGGAUUCAUUGGGCGUAAAGGGUGCGUAGGCGGCGCGGUAAGUCGGGUGUGAAAUCUCGGAGCUCAACUCCGAGCCUGCGUUCGAUACUGGAUGGCUAGAGUCUGGUAGGGGGAUCUGGAAUUCCUGGUGUAGCGGUGAAAUGCGCAGAUAUCAGGAGGAACACCGGUGGCGAAGGCGGGUCUCUGGGCCGAUACUGACGCUGAGGAGCGAAAGCGUGGGGAGCGAACAGG
rnacentral:rRNA from 1 species